GCAGCCUGCAACUCGGCUGCAUGAAGCUGGAAUCGCUAGUAAUCGCGGAUCAGAAUGCCGCGGUGAAUACGUUCCCGGGUCUUGUACACACCGCCCGUCACACCAUGGGAGCCGGAAACGCCCGAAGCCAGCGGCCCAACCGCAAGGGGGGAGCUGUGAAGGCGGGUCCGGUGACCGGGGUGAAGUCGUAACAAGGUACC
rnacentral:rRNA from 1 species